rnacentral:rRNA from 1 species
AAAAUUGGCCAAGUCCGAGCGGGCGAGGUUGCUUCGGUAACUGAGCUAGCGGGCGGACGGGUGAGUAAUGCUUAGGAAUCUGCCUAUUAGUGGGGGACAACAUUCCGAAAGGGAUGCUAAUACCGCAUACGUCCUACGGGAGAAAGCAGGGGAUCACUUGUGACCUUGCGCUAAUAAAUGACCCUAAUUCGGAUUAGCUAGUUGGGGGGGUAAAGGCCUACCAGGGCGACAAUCUGUAGCGGGUCUGAGAGGAUGAUCCCCCACACUGGGACUGAAACACGGCCCAAACUCCUACGGGAGGCAGCAGGGGGGAAUAUUGGACAAGGGGGGGAACCCUGAUCCACCCAUGCCGCGUGUGUGAAAAAGGCCUUUUGGUUGUAAAGCACUUUAAGUGGGGAGGAGGCUUACCGGGUUAAUACCUGGGCAAGUGGACUUACCCACAAAUAAGCACCGGCUAACUCUGUGCCAGCACCGCGGUAAUACAGAGGGUGCGAGCGUUAAUCGGAUUUACGGGCGUAAAGCGCGCGUAGGUGGUUAAUUAAGUCAAAUGUGAAAUCCCCGAGCUUAACUUGGGAAUUGCAUUCGAUACUGGUUAGCUAGAGUAUGGGAGAGAUGGUAGAUUCCAGGUGUAGCGGUGAAAUGCGUAGAGAUCUGGAGGAAUACCGAUGGCGAAGGCAGCCAUCUGGCCUAAUACUGACACUGAGGUGCGAAAGCAUGGGGAGCAAACAGGAUUAGAUACCCUGGUAGUCCAUGCCGUAAACGAUGUCUACUAGCCGUUGGGGGAUUUGAUCCUUUAGUGGCGCAGCUAACGCGAUAAGUAGACCGCCUGGGGGAGUACGGUCGCAGACUAAAACUCAAAUGAAUUGACGGGGGCCCGCACAAGCGGUGGAGCAUGGUGGUUUAAUUCGAUGCAACGCGAAGAACCUUACCUGGCCUUGACAUAGUAGAGACUUUCCAGAAUGGAUUGGUGCCUUCGGGAAUCUACAUACAGGUGCUGCAUGGCUGUCGUCAGCUCGUGUCGUGAGAUGUUGGGUUAAGUCCCGCAACGAGCGCAACCCUUUUCCUUACUUGCCAGCAUUUCGGAUGGGAACUUUAAGGAUACUGCCAGUGACAAACUGGAGGAAGGCGGGGACGACGUCAAGUCAUCAUGGCCCUUACGGCCAGGGCUACACACGUGCUACAAUGGUCGGUACAAAGGGUUGCUACCUAGCGAGAGGAUGCUAAUCUCAAAAAGCCGAUCGUAGUCCGGAUCGCAGUCUGCAACUCGACUGCGUGAAGUCGGAAUCGCUAGUAAUCGCGGAUCAGAAUGCCGCGGUGAAUACGUUCCCGGGCCUUGUACACACCGCCCGUCACACCAUGGGAGUUUGUUGCACCAGAAGUAGGUAGUCUAACCGCAAGGAGGGACGGCCUUAACCCCA